rnacentral:rRNA from 1 species
GACGAACGCUGUCGGCGUGCCUAAUACAUGCAAGUAGAACGCUGAAGAGAGGAGCUUGCUCUUCUUGGAUGAGUUGCGAACGGGUGAGUAACGCGUAGGUAACCUGCCUGGUAGCGGGGGAUAACUAUUGGAAACGAUAGCUAAUACCGCAUAAAAUUGAUUAUUGCAUGAUAAUUAAUUGAAAGAUGCAAUUGCAUCACUACCAGAUGGACCUGCGUUGUAUUAGCUAGUUGGUGAGGUAACGGCUCACCAAGGCGACGAUACAUAGCCGACCUGAGAGGGUGAUCGGCCACACUGGGACUGAGACACGGCCCAGACUCCUACGGGAGGCAGCAGUAGGGAAUCUUCGGCAAUGGGGGGAACCCUGACCGAGCAACGCCGCGUGAGUGAAGAAGGUUUUCGGAUCGUAAAGCUCUGUUGUAAGAGAAGAACGGGUGUGAGAGUGGAAAGUUCACACUGUGACGGUAUCUUACCAGAAAGGGACGGCUAACUACGUGCCAGCAGCCGCGGUAAUACGUAGGUCCCGAGCGUUGUCCGGAUUUAUUGGGCGUAAAGCGAGCGCAGGCGGUUAGAUAAGUCUGAAGUUAGAGGCUGUGGCUUAACCAUAGUAUGCUUUGGAAACUGUUUAACUUGAGUGCAGAAGGGGAGAGUGGAAUUCCAUGUGUAGCGGUGAAAUGCGUAGAUAUAUGGAGGAACACCGGUGGCGAAAGCGGCUCUCUGGUCUGUAACUGACGCUGAGGCUCGAAAGCGUGGGGAGCAAACAGGAUUAGAUACCCUGGUAGUCCACGCCGUAAACGAUGAGUGCUAGGUGUUAGGCCCUUUCCGGGGCUUAGUGCCGCAGCUAACGCAUUAAGCACUCCGCCUGGGGAGUACGACCGCAAGGUUGAAACUCAAAGGAAUUGACGGGGGCCCGCACAAGCGGUGGCGCAUGUGGUUUAAUUCGAAGCAACGCGAAGAACCUUACCAGGUCUUGACAUCCCUCUGACCGCUCUAGAGAUAGAGUUUUCCUUCGGGACAGAGGUGACAGGUGGUGCAUGGUUGUCGUCAGCUCGUGUCGUGAGAUGUUGGGUUAAGUCCCGCAACGAGCGCAACCCCUAUUGUUAGUUGCCAUCAUUCAGUUGGGCACUCUAGCGAGACUGCCGGUAAUAAACCGGAGGAAGGUGGGGAUGACGUCAAAUCAUCAUGCCCCUUAUGACCUGGGCUACACACGUGCUACAAUGGCUGGUACAACGAGUCGCAAGCCGGUGACGGCAAGCUAAUCUCUGAAAGCCAGUCUCAGUUCGGAUUGUAGGCUGCAACUCGCCUACAUGAAGUCGGAAUCGCUAGUAAUCGCGGAUCAGCACGCCGCGGUGAAUACGUUCCCGGGCCU